UACGUAGGGGGGCGAGCGUUUGUCCGGAGUUACUGGGCGUAAAGCGUGCGCAGGCGGAUUUCCAAGUCAGGAGUGAAAUCCCCAGGGCUCAACCCUGGAAUUGCUCUUGAAACUGGAUGUCUUGAGUCUCGGAGAGGUUGGCGGAAUUCCCAGUGUAGCAGUGAAAUGCGUAGAUAUUGGGAGGACACCAGUGGCGUAAGCGGCCAACUGGACGAUACGUGACGCU
rnacentral:rRNA from 1 species